ensembl:lncRNA
GUUCUUCCAGCUGGCCUCCUUGCCACGUGCACACCCUGCCCGGAACCCGGCCCAGCUGCUUGCUGCUCGCCUGCCCACUUCCGUUUCCAGGAAGGGUUCCGGAGGCUGGCGGAGCAGGGGGCGGAGUGAUUGAUGACAGCGCGCGUGCCCCUGAACUCCUCGUCAAAGUUCUACAGGGUUGGCAGCCCUGUGCUGAAAGCUGCUCUGUGGCUGAGGCGGCAUAUGGACUGCUGACAGAGCAGCUGCUGGGGAAGAAGACGCUGAAAGGAAGCCUCUAGGGAUAAACAGAGAAACCCAUGGCACCACGUGGCACCCAAGGCAGAAUUCUCAUCCCCUUCACGACUGGAUAGCUACCCACCAAGCUCAGGCUGUGUUUCUCAGCUUCUUUUGCUAUGGAGUGGAUUCUUGCCAGUGGAAUCACAAGUGUAUCCAUGACCUGUUAAUUAUUCAGGCAUUGAAGCUAAACCUGCAGGGAGGAUUUUUCUAUGCUUCUAAACUCCAUCUUUGGACCUAUUGAAUGUUGCAAGUGAAAUCUAUGUGAAGAUGUUGAAAAUGCAUCUUACAGAUUUGAAGAUUAAAAAAAGCAAGAAUACUGGAUUAUAGAAACUCAUAAUCAUGUGGACAGGGUGGAAUGAAACCCUGAGGAUGAAAUUUAGCAACAAUACGAGUCUAAUGGUCAGCCAGG